rnacentral:rRNA from 1 species
GGGAGGAAAAAGAAACCCCAACAGGGGAUUGCCUAGUAACGGCGAGUGAAGCGGCAACAGCUCAAAUUUGAAAUCUGGCUUCGGCCCGAGUUGUAAUUUGUAGAGGAAGCUUUUGGUGAGGCACCUUCUGAGUCCCCUGGAACGGGGCGCCAUAGAGGGUGAGAGCCCCGUAUAGUCGGAUGCCGAUCCAAUGUAAAGCUCCUUCGACGAGUCGAGUAGUUUGGGAAUGCUGCUCAAAAUGGGAGGUAAAUUUCUUCUAAAGCUAAAUACCGGCCAGAGACCGAUAGCGCACAAGUAGAGUGAUCGAAAGAUGAAAAGCACUUUGAAAAGAGGGUUAAAUAGCACGUGAAAUUGUUGAAAGGGAAGCGUUUGUGACCAGACUUGCGCCGUUCCGAUCAUCCGGUGUUCUCACCGGUGCACUCGGGACGGCACAGGCCAGCAUCGGUUUUGGCGGGGGGACAAAGGCCCUGGGAACGUAGCUCCUCCGGGAGUGUUAUAGCCCAGGGCGUAAUGCCCUCGCCGGGACCGAGGUUCGCGCAUCUGCAAGGAUGCUGGCGUAAUGGUCACCAACGACCCGUCUUGAAACACGGACCAAGGAGUCAAGGUUUUGCGCGAGUGUUUGGGUGUAAAACCCGCACGCGUAAUGAAAGUGAACGUAGGUGAGAGCUUCGGCGCAUCAUCGACCGAUCCUGAUGUAUUCGGAUGGAUUUGAGUAAGAGCGUUAAGCCUUGGACCCGAAAGAUGGUGAACUAUGCUUGGAUAGGGUGAAGCCAGAGGAAACUCUGGUGGAGGCUCGCAGCGGGUUCUGACGUGCAAAUCGAUCGUCAAAUCUGAGCAUGGAGGCG